CACGUAGUUAGCCGUGACUUUCUGGCGGGGCACCAUCAGUCAGCACCCAUUUCCUGAUGCCGCCUUUUUUUCCCCCGCAACAGAGCUUUACGACCCGAAGGCCUUCUUCACUCACGCGGCAUCGCUCGUUCAGGCUUGCGCCCAUUGACGAAAAUUCCCUACUGCUGCCUCCCGCAGGAGUCUGGGCCGUGUCUCAGUCCCAAUGUGGCCGUCCGCCCUCUCAGGCCGGCUAUGCAUCAUCGUCUUGGUGGGCCUUUACCCGCCAACCAACUAAUGCACCGCAGGUCCAUCCGCGCCCCAUCCCCUAAAGGAUGUUUCACAGAAAGAAGAUGCCUCCUUCCUGUACAUCGGGAUUGUUCUCCGUUCAGAGCGUAUUCCCGGUGCGCGGGCAGGUUCCUACGUGUUACCUCACCCGUUCGCCACUAGAGACCCCGAAGGUCUCUCGUUCGACUUUGCUAUGUAUUAGGCAGUGCCGCCAGCGUUCAUCCUGACGUCCAGG
rnacentral:rRNA from 1 species